GCAGUUUCUUUAUUCAUUAACCAAUAAAAGCAACACAUAGACAGAAGAACCUCCCAUACCAGUGAUGUAGUGAUCUGGCCUCCUGCUCUUGGCCCAUGCCUUUCCCGCCAUGAUAGAACAUGUCCCCCUCAAACUGUGGGCCAAACUCUUUCUUUCUUUAUUUCUUGUGGUCAGGUGUCUGUCACAGCAACAAGGAAAGUAACUAAUACUUGUGGGUUUUCUGCAAUAGUUUUGAGCCCCCAAGAUGAACCACUGACUCUGUGCAAAGGCUCCAACAAUCCUCAAGCUCAGUCGUAGGACAUUGUAUGAACUGGGGUCUAGGGGAGGUUAGUUACAUAGGGAAAUGUUUCUAGGGCAGAAAGUGUAACCACACAUUCCGCGGACUCAUGAAUGGGUACCGUAGGGAAAGCCAAAGGAUAAAUGUGAACUAGAACUAGACAAGCCGUUGUCUGGAGAAUAACAGAAAUUUACAAAAUUCUGGAUAUCUAGAGGUGCCACAGAGUCCCUUAGAAGCCAGUUUACAGCAACUCCUUUGAGAAAGCAACAGAGUUAACCCUCAAUGGAAGCAAAGGCGUCGAAAUGCUCUGCUCCUGAAGGAAGUUAACCCAGGAGGUCCGUCACCUCCUGCGUCCUCCCACUUUGGAGUAGCAACCUCUCCCAUUACACCCUGUUCAUCUUUGUCCUGUGUUGAAUUUGUUUUGACAGUUACCAGUGUUUCUCGGAGAUGAACCCUUGGUCUGUUCCUGUUUACCUUUUUUAUCUUGUCACUGGUUACCUAAUUUUAUCGUUCCCUGAUAGAUUCAAAGCCUGCAAUGAUGUUGGAGUUUGCUUCAUGUUCAGUCAGGGAGACAGACCCAUCUGAAUCAGGAAGAAGUUGCAUAAAACUUCAGGUCAGAGAAGACUACUGUCCCCGUGGUGCUCAGUGUCACUUCCUCAGCCAUCAGUCGGUGGCCCUAAGUACUCUCCAGAGCUGCGCAGAACUUUGCCCUAGUAACGCUGCUUUAAUCACAUACCAGGUUCUCACAUCGUUGACUUUCUAAGUCCCCAAAGAGAGACCUCGUCUCUCAGCAGGAGACAGACAGUCCAGAACGCCUUAAUAAACCACACUUUGGUAAAUUAAACUUUAAAAUUCAUUUGGCAAAUACAAAUGAAGCUCAAAGUGAAAAUUAUUGUUUAUUGCAUGCCGUCAGAAUGGGAAAGAAUGGAGAGACUGAACAAAUACUGUCAACCUGAAACUUGGCUUUGUCUGAUGACGUGAGAGGAGUCUCAACAGGCUAUUAAUGUGGUCAUGAGGUGGGUGAUAAGGAUCUGCCUCUUCUAGGCUGUCACAAGGAGGAGAGAGCUUCUCUGCGAAGCACUCGGCAAGUAUUACCUGUGCAAGGCAAGGCUCUAGCUUGUGUUAUCUCCUUGUCUUACCAUGUAUUCAUUACAAAAGCCUAGAAGGUACACACUCACCCUCAUCUCACAGAUGUGGAGACUCAGCAGAGAAAAUUCACGGUUCCCGCCUGCAGGAAGCAGCAACUGAUUCGAGGUCUCGGGCUGAACCCAGGCAGACUCCUGUUUCUCAAGAUCUUCACUCAGAGAAUGUGACCACGUGAAGGCAGUAAAGGAUGAUCCAGCCUUCAGACACAAUGAUCUAACAUAGCGUGCCGUGCUUUUUUGCUUGCUGAAAUCUCAGUGAAGAUUUAGUUCAAACUUUGGAAAUGUAACAGAGGGCUGGUUUUUGUCUCUUGCACUUCUUUGGUUUCUGUUCUUUGAUUGCUUGUUUCAGCAUUUUGUUUCUGUAAAAUAUUUUUUACUGUUUGGAUUUAAGUUUACUGCAUGUUCAUCUUGGAAAGUCUAUAAAGUAAGGACAGGGCCUGUG